rnacentral:rRNA from 1 species
UGGGGAAUAUUGCACAAUGGGCGCAAGCCUGAUGCAGCCAUGCCGCGUGUGUGAAGAAGGCCUUCGGGUUGUAAAGCACUUUCNGCGAGGAGGAAGGUGGUGAGCUUAAUACGCUCAUCAAUUGACGUUACUCGCAGAAGAAGCACCGGCUAACUCCGUGCCAGCAGCCGCGGUAAUACGGAGGGUGCAAGCGUAAUCGGAAUUACUGGGCGUAAAGCGCACGCAGGCGGUUUGUUAAGUCAGAUGUGAAAUCCCCGGGCUCAACCUGGGAACUGCAUUUGAAACUGGCAAGCUAGAGUCUCGUAGAGGGGGGUAGAAAUUCCAGGUGUAGCGGUGAAAUGCGUAGAGAUCUGGAGGAAUACCGGUGGCGAAGGCGGCCCCCCUGGACGAAGACUGACGCUCAGGUG